rnacentral:rRNA from 1 species
GGUUAAGCGACUAAGCGUACACGGUGGAUGCCCUGGCAGUCAGAGGCGAUGAAGGACGUGCUAAUCUGCGAUAAGCGUCGGUAAGGUGAUAUGAACCGUUAUAACCGGCGAUUUCCGAAUGGGGAAACCCAGUGUGAUUCGUCACACUAUCAUUAACUGAAUCCAUAGGUUAAUGAGGCGAACCGGGGGAACUGAAACAUCUAAGUACCCCGAGGAAAAGAAAUCAACCGAGAUUCCCCCAGUAGCGGCGAGCGAACGGGGAGCAGCCCAGAGCCUGAAUCAGUGUGUGUGUUAGUGGAAGCGUCUGGAAAGGCGCGCGAUACAGGGUGACAGCCCCGUACACAAAAAUGCACAUGCUGUGAGCUCGAUGAGUAGGGCGGGACACGUGGUAUCCUGUCUGAAUAUGGGGGGACCAUCCUCCAAGGCUAAAUACUCCUGACUGACCGAUAGUGAACCAGUACCGUGAGGGAAAGGCGAAAAGAACCCCGGCGAGGGGAGUGAAAAAGAACCUGAAACCGUGUACGUACAAGCAGUGGGAGCACAGAGCAAUCUGUGUGACUGCGUACCUUUUGUAUAAUGGGUCAGCGACUUAUAUUCUGUAGCAAGGUUAACCGAAUAGGGGAGCCGAAGGGAAACCGAGUCUUAACUGGGCGUUAAGUUGCAGGGUAUAGACCCGAAACCCGGUGAUCUAGCCAUGGGCAGGUUGAAGGUUGGGUAACACUAACUGGAGGACCGAACCGACUAAUGUUGAAAAAUUAGCGGAUGACUUGUGGCUGGGGGUGAAAGGCCAAUCAAACCGGGAGAUAGCUGGUUCUCCCCGAAAGCUAUUUAGGUAGCGCCUCGUGAAUUCAUCUCCGGGGGUAGAGCACUGUUUCGGCAAGGGGGUCAUCCCGACUUACCAACCCGAUGCAAACUGCGAAUACCGGAGAAUGUUAUCACGGGAGACACACGGCGGGUGCUAACGUCCGUCGUGAAGAGGGAAACAACCCAGACCGCCAGCUAAGGUCCCAAAGUCAUGGUUAAGUGGGAAACGAUGUGGGAAGGCCCAGACAGCCAGGAUGUUGGCUUAGAAGCAGCCAUCAUUUAAAGAAAGCGUAAUAGCUCACUGGUCGAGUCGGCCUGCGCGGAAGAUGUAACGGGGCUAAACCAUGCACCGAAGCUGCGGCAGCGACACUGUGUGUUGUUGGGUAGGGGAGCGUUCUGUAAGCCUGCGAAGGUGUGCUGUGAGGCAUGCUGGAGGUAUCAGAAGUGCGAAUGCUGACAUAAGUAACGAUAAAGCGGGUGAAAAGCCCGCUCGCCGGAAGACCAAGGGUUCCUGUCCAACGUUAAUCGGGGCAGGGUGAGUCGACCCCUAAGGCGAGGCCGAAAGGCGUAGUCGAUGGGAAACAGGUUAAUAUUCCUGUACUUGGUGUUACUGCGAAGGGGGGACGGAGAAGGCUAUGUUGGCCGGGCGACGGUUGUCCCGGUUUAAGCGUGUAGGCUGGUUUUCCAGGCAAAUCCGGAAAAUCAAGGCUGAGGCGUGAUGACGAGGCACUACGGUGCUGAAGCAACAAAUGCCCUGCUUCCAGGAAAAGCCUCUAAGCAUCAGGUAACAUCAAAUCGUACCCCAAACCGACACA